AAUAAAUCAACAGAACGUGAGAUACAGCACACCUUCGUGUUAACUGUCUAAGGCCUGAAUUUUUCUUGCUUUAUGACACAUGAAGACACAUCGCUCUGUCAGACUGUAAUCUCCUUGAAGGGGCCCCGAGUCUGUGUCCACAAUAAUGUGAACUUGUGUCCUGACAACAGGCAGAAACGUCAAGGUUGUACACACUCUCUAAUGAACAGCUGUCUAAUCUCAACCCCUCGUCCCCAGAGGUGAAGCUCUGAGACAAACCAAAUAAGCUUCAGUGGGAGAACAGGUUUGAAGCAAGGAAGGACGAGCGAGCACCAGACUCCCUCACCUGCUCCACUGGAGGAGCAGCUGGAAGGCUCAUUUCCUUGGCAUCCUUGGCAGGUAUAGAGGCGUGGAUGGCAUGGGCUCUUCAAUUCAAAUUUUCCUGAGGGACAGUUCAAAA
rnacentral:lncRNA from 1 species